CUUGAGCGAGCCGAGCAGCAGCGGCUCGCCCUCGGGACGCCCCUGCCCGUACGCCGCCAGCAGGGCCUGCGCCUC
rnacentral:antisense_RNA from 1 species